UUUUUAAUCGAAAUUGUUAUCAAUGAAAUCGGGCUCAUGUUCCCAAAUUUUAAGCCCGUGUCAAAAGGUUAAAAUUAAUAAUUAUUGAUUAAAGUAGAAUAUUAAAUUUACUUCCAAACUUAAUAUUUUGGUACUCCUAAAAGACUUUCUUUAUCAAUAUAGAAUAUUACGUAUUAUGCUUCGUAGGCAUAGACUAUAGACCAAGAUUUAUUGAUAGACUUAUAGAAAUAGACGGAACAUUAGGUAUGAUAACGCAUGCAACGGUGGAGCUUGUUACGAGGAUUGGAGCUAUGUAUUUGCAAAUGUUCCGUCUAUUUCUAUAUACUGUGGAAACGGCGAGAUAAAGAAUGAACAUUGAACACAUAAUGUCAAAGACAUAAUAGAUAUUAUGUCUAUGCAUAAUGUAGAUACGCAGAGUGGAAGUGGUGGGUUUUCCACAACGAAUCGAUGGAAAUUUCGCAUUUUUUUUUUCAAGUGUUUAGCCAUACGUCGUGGCUUUACUACAUAAUAUGAUGUGUACAAACAGAAACAUUUCGUUUCCGUGAAACGCUGUACUUACAAGUGGAUAUUGAAAAAAUGAAAAUAAAAAAAAUUAUUAAUAAUAAUUUUUAAUCAAAAGGCAACUACCUACCUACUGUGCGUAGUGCUCAGGUCUCCAGAGGCUCUAAACCAUAUUGCAGGAUUUUAAGCGAUUUCGUGUUGGAUAUAAAUUCAGAAUUCUCGUUUUACAAACUAUGCCGCAGGUAUAAGUGUCUAUAGUCUAUACUCUAUACUGCAAUGCUAUAAUAAUGUCUACGUCUCACAAUCGUGAGUGUAAGCGGUACAGCACGUCCGUUAAAAUAAACUACUUUAUCAUAUACAUAUAGAAUUUAAUAAAUAAUUAUAAUUUAAAUAAUAUGCGUCUAUCACGCUCACACGUCAAACUAUAAUAUGAGCUUAAAUUUUGUUGUUUGAACAUGUUCGUGCUUUUUCUCUGUUGAUAAGCUUUACUGUCGAUGGUAUAUUAUACUAUAUAGGUAGUAUGGAUAGUAUAAUAUAACCAGUUAUGGCUGUAUAAUAUUAUACUAGGUGAUUAUACUGGCUUAAAUAAUUUUCAAAUAUGCGAUUUUUGCGUUUUCGAAGUUUUUGAAAAAUAAUAGAUAUCCACGUUUCUAUGUGUGUGUUCGUGUCGCUUUAGUUUUACGAAAAAAUCAAAUUAGUUUUAUAUUUCUAAAAGGUAUAUUGAUUAAACCUAUAUUUAUUUUUUCAUAACCGUGAGCAGUAUAUUUGUCCAUACAUUUUUAUGUCGGACAAUUAUUAUCGCGCUGUGUACUUGUGUUGGAUAAACACUUAAAAAAAUUGACUUGAAAAGUCAACGAGGCCAGUGAAACGGAUCAACCCGAUGCACGCAAAGUGAUUGUAAAAUGUGUGGUGGAUACAAAUUAGCAGACGGCGAUCGUCGAAACACAUAAUAUGUACCAGAUUUAUAACAUACGAACAUAGUAUACAUAUAUAUAUAUAUAUAUAUAUAUAUAUAUAUAUACAGAAUAAUAUCGUAAACAAUAUAUCGGCCUCGGCGACCGAAAUCAGUGACAUAUUAUAGAAUUAGUGGGCGGUAGCGACGAGUUAAUCACCAAAUUAAUCCAACGUGAACAACGCCAUAAUUAAAUAUACGAUUUUGCAAUGUUUGUUUAUGAGUUGUAGCACACACGAUGAUCGCAUUAUGAAUGAUAAAAAUAUUUGUAAAAAUAUCAAUAACAUAUACUGCUGAGAACAGCGAGCGUAUGACGUUUUUUUUGCGUUGAUAUUAUUUACAUGUUUCAGAGCUUGGAUUCGUGCAUUCUGCCGCGAUUUAAUAUUAUAAUAUACGUGGAUAGGGAGUGUCGUAUAUUAAACUGCAGUUUUCGUUCGCAAUCAGAAAAUAUUUUAUUUGUGCACGUUGGUCAUUCCAUAACCGCAUAAUACCGUGUCCAUUUGAGCGAUAUCAAAUUUAACCGGCUAGAUGCAAUUAACCUCAUCAGCUAUACAUGUAGGACAUGAUAUAAUGGAUUGAGUUCGUCCACGCAAGCCGUCGGCCAUUCGGUGCCUUACGAUAUGUAUACGCAUUACCAAUACGAUGGAUUGUAAAAAAAAUGUAUUCGAAAUGACGACUCGUAGGUCGACGACACUCAUUAUCAAUAAUUAUUAUCAUAUCGUGUUUAUGAAAGGCACAAGCAGGGCAUCUCGCAAAAUGUUGGUCAUCGAAAUUUUAAAUAGGUAUCUAAAAAAAAAAUGGAAAAUGAAAAUGUCUCUAAACAGUUCAAAAUAAAUCAAAAU